UUCUGAUAAUUUAAAUCCGUUUUCGAUUCAUGGAUAGAACGAAUGAGUAGAAUAUUUGGUUAAUGAAUACAUAAUUAAGCUCAAGUGUUUUUCAAAAUGUUUAAUUUGAGAAAAUCGUGGUAAACUUUGAAUAUAUAAGA